rnacentral:ncRNA from 1 species
UGACCUCGAAUCAGGUAGGGAUACCCGCUGAACUUAAGCAUAUCAAUAAGCGGAGGAAAAGAAACCAACAGGGAUUACCUCAGUAACGGCGAGUGAAGCGGUAACAGCUCAAAUUUGAAAUCUGGUCCGGUUACGGGCCCGAGUUGUAAUUUGUAGAAGAUGCUUUGGUAAUGAGUCCGGCCUAAGUUCCUUGGAACAGGACGUCAUAGAGGGUGAGAACCCCGUAUGCGGCCGAGUACUCAGUGCCAUGUAAAGCUCUUUCGACGAGUCGAGUUGUUUGGGAAUGCAGCUCAAAAUGGGUGGUAAAUUUCAUCUAAAGCUAAAUAUUGGCCAGAGACCGAUAGCGCACAAGUAGAGUGAUCGAAAGAUGAAAAGCACUUUGGAAAGAGAGUUAAACAGUACGUGAAAUUGUUGAAAGGGAAGCGCUUGCAACCAGACUUGGGCACUGUGGAUCAUCCGAGGUUCUCCUCGGUGCACUCGGCAGUGCGCAGGCCAGCAUCAGUUUGGGUGGUUGGAUAAAGACUUGUGGAAUGUAGCUCCUUUCGGGGAGUGUUAUAGCCACAGGUGCCAUGCGACCAACCCGGACUGAGGACCGCGCUUC